UGGACGGAUGGCCGAGCGGUUUAAGGCACCAGUCUUGAAAACUGACGCAUGUGUGAGCAUGCCGUGGGUUCGAAUCCUACUCCGUCCGU
rnacentral:tRNA from 1 species